rnacentral:miRNA from 1 species
GGUCAGCUGACACAUCCCGGCAAAUCUCCAGCAUACCCUCCCUCCCAGACCCUCCUACUUCCUGGACAGCAUCCAUGUUGAAGGCAGCUUCAACAUGGAUGCUGUCCAGGAGGUGGGAGGGUCUGGGAGGGAGGGUCUGCCGGAGAUUGGCAGGGAUGUGUCAGCUG